rnacentral:rRNA from 1 species
GCGUUGUUCGGAAUUACUGGGCGUAAAGCGCGCGUAGGCGGCUUUGUAAGUUAGAGGUGAAAGCCCGGGGCUCAACUCCGGAAUUGCCUUUAAGACUGCAUCGCUAGAAUUGUGGAGAGGUGAGUGGAAUUCCGAGUGUAGAGGUGAAAUUCGUAGAUAUUCGGAAGAACACCAGUGGCGAAGGCGACUCACUGGACAGUUCCUGACACUGAGGCACGAAGGCCAG